GAGUUUGAUCCUGGCUCAGGACGAACGCUGGCGGCGUGCCUAAUACAUGCAAGUCGAGCGGACAGAUGGGAGCUUGCUCCCUGAUGUUAGCGGCGGACGGGUGAGUAACACGUGGGUAACCUGCCUGUAAGACUGGGAUAACUCCGGGAAACCGGGGCUAAUACCGGAUGGUUGUUUGAACCGCAUGGUUCAAACAUAAAAGGUGGCUUCGGCUACCACUUACAGAUGGACCCGCGGCGCAUUAGCUAGUUGGUGAGGUAACGGCUCACCAAGGCAACGAUGCGUAGCCGACCUGAGAGGGUGAUCGGCCACACUGGGACUGAGACACGGCCCAGACUCCUACGGGAGGCAGCAGUAGGGAAUCUUCCGCAAUGGACGAAAGUCUGACGGAGCAACGCCGCGUGAGUGAUGAAGGUUUUCGGAUCGUAAAGCUCUGUUGUUAGGGAAGAACAAGUACCGUUCGAAUAGGGCGGUACCUUGACGGUACCUAACCAGAAAGCCACGGCUAACUACGUGCCAGCAGCCGCGGUAAUACGUAGGUGGCAAGCGUUGUCCGGAAUUAUUGGGCGUAAAGGGCUCGCAGGCGGUUUCUUAAGUCUGAUGUGAAAGCCCCCGGCUCAACCGGGGAGGGUCAUUGGAAACUGGGGAACUUGAGUGCAGAAGAGGAGAGUGGAAUUCCACGUGUAGCGGUGAAAUGCGUAGAGAUGUGGAGGAACACCAGUGGCGAAGGCGACUCUCUGGUCUGUAACUGACGCUGAGGAGCGAAAGCGUGGGGAGCGAACAGGAUUAGAUACCCUGGUAGUCCACGCCGUAAACGAUGAGUGCUAAGUGUUACGGGGUUUCCGCCCCUUAGUGCUGCAGCUAACGCAUUAAGCACUCCGCCUGGGGAGUACGGUCGCAAGACUGAAACUCAAAGGAAUUGACGGGGGCCCGCACAAGCGGUGGAGCAUGUGGUUUAAUUCGAAGCAACGCGAAGAACCUUACCAGGUCUUGACAUCCUCUGACAAUCCUAGAGAUAGGACGUCCCCUUCGGGGGCAGAGUGACAGGUGGUGCAUGGUUGUCGUCAGCUCGUGUCGUGAGAUGUUGGGUUAAGUCCCGCAACGAGCGCAACCCUUGAUCUUAGUUGCCAGCAUUCAGUUGGGCACUCUAAGGUGACUGCCGGUGACAAACCGGAGGAAGGUGGGGAUGACGUCAAAUCAUCAUGCCCCUUAUGACCUGGGCUACACACGUGCUACAAUGGACAGAACAAAGGGCAGCGAAACCGCGAGGUUAAGCCAAUCCCACAAAUCUGUUCUCAGUUCGGAUCGCAGUCUGCAACUCGACUGCGUGAAGCUGGAAUCGCUAGUAAUCGCGGAUCAGCAUGCCGCGGUGAAUACGCUCCCGGGCCUUGUACACACCGCCCGUCACACCACGAGAGUUUGUAACACCCGAAGUCGGUGAGGUAACCUUUUAGGAGCCAGCCGCCGAAGGUGGGACAGAUGAUUGGGGUGAAGUCGUAACAAGGUAACCG
rnacentral:rRNA from 1 species